UUAAGCGACUAAGCGUACACGGUGGAUGCCCUGGCAGUCAGAGGCGAUGAAGGACGUGCUAAUCUGCGAAAAGCGUCGGUAAGGUGAUAUGAACCGUUAUAACCGGCGAUGUCCGAAUGGGGAAACCCAGUGCAAUUCGUUGCACUAUCGUUAACUGAAUACAUAGGUUAACGAGGCGAACCGGGGGAACUGAAACAUCUAAGUACCCCGAGGAAAAGAAAUCAACCGAGAUUCCCCCAGUAGCGGCGAGCGAACGGGGAGCAGCCCAGAGUUUGAAUCAGCUUGUGUGUUAGUGGAACGGUCUGGAAAGUCCGACGGUACAGGGUGAUAGUCCCGUACACCAAAAUGCACAGGCUGUGAACUCGAAGAGUAGGGCGGGACACGUGGUAUCCUGUCUGAAUAUGGGGGGACCAUCCUCCAAGGCUAAAUACUCCUGACUGACCGAUAGUGAACCAGUACCGUGAGGGAAAGGCGAAAAGAACCCCGGCGAGGGGAGUGAAAAAGAACCUGAAACCGUGUACGUACAAGCAGUGGGAGCACCUUCGGGUGUGACUGCGUACCUUUUGUAUAAUGGGUCAGCGACUUAUAUUCUGUAGCAAGGUUAACCGUAUAGGGGAGCCGCAGGGAAACCGAGUCUUAACUGGGCGUUAAGUUGCAGGGUAUAGACCCGAAACCCGGUGAUCUAGCCAUGGGCAGGUUGAAGGUUGGGUAACACUAACUGGAGGACCGAACCGACUAAUGUUGAAAAAUUAGCGGAUGACUUGUGGCUGGGGGUGAAAGGCCAAUCAAACCGGGAGAUAGCUGGUUCUCCCCGAAAGCUAUUUAGGUAGCGCCUCGUGAAUUCAUCUUCGGGGGUAGAGCACUGUUUCGGCUAGGGGGUCAUCCCGACUUACCAACCCGAUGCAAACUACGAAUACCGAAGAAUGUUAUCACGGGAGACACACGGCGGGUGCUAACGUCCGUCGUGAAGAGGGAAACAACCCAGACCGCCAGCUAAGGUCCCAAAGUCAUGGUUAAGUGGGAAACGAUGUGGGAAGGCACAGACAGCCAGGAUGUUGGCUUAGAAGCAGCCAUCAUUUAAAGAAAGCGUAAUAGCUCACUGGUCGAGUCGGCCUGCGCGGAAGAUGUAACGGGGCUAAACCAUGCACCGAAGCUGCGGCAGCGACACUAUGUGUUGUUGGGUAGGGGAGCGUUCUGUAAGCCUGCGAAGGUGACCUGUGAGGGUUGCUGGAGGUAUCAGAAGUGCGAAUGCUGACAUAAGUAACGAUAAAGCGGGUGAAAAGCCCGCUCGCCGGAAGACCAAGGGUUCCUGUCCAACGUUAAUCGGGGCAGGGUGAGUCGACCCCUAAGGCGAGGCCGAAAGGCGUAGUCGAUGGGAAACAGGUUAAUAUUCCUGUACUUGGUGUUACUGCGAAGGGGGGACGGAGAAGGCUAUGUUAGCCGGGCGACGGUUGUCCCGGUUUAAGCAUGUAGGCUGGUUAUCCAGGCAAAUCCGGAUAAUCAAGGCUGAGGUGUGAUGACGAGGCACUACGGUGCUGAAGUAACAAAUGCCCUGCUUCCAGGAAAAGCCUCUAAGCAUCAGGUAACAUCAAAUCGUACCCCAAACCGACACAGGUGGUCAGGUAGAGAAUACCAAGGCGCUUGAGAGAACUCGGGUGAAGGAACUAGGCAAAAUGGUGCCGUAACUUCGGGAGAAGGCACGCUGGUGUGUAGGUGAAGUCCCUGCGGAUGGAGCUGAGACCAGUCGAAGAUACCAGCUGGCUGCAACUGUUUAUUAAAAACACAGCACUGUGCAAACACGAAAGUGGACGUAUACGGUGUGACGCCUGCCCGGUGCCGGAAGGUUAAUUGAUGGGGUUAUCCGUAAGGAGAAGCUCUUGAUCGAAGCCCCGGUAAACGGCGGCCGUAACUAUAACGGUCCUAAGGUAGCGAAAUUCCUUGUCGGGUAAGUUCCGACCUGCACGAAUGGCGUAAUGAUGGCCAGGCUGUCUCCACCCGAGACUCAGUGAAAUUGAACUCGCUGUGAAGAUGCAGUGUACCCGCGGCAAGACGGAAAGACCCCGUGAACCUUUACUAUAGCUUGACACUGAACAUUGAGCCUUGAUGUGUAGGAUAGGUGGGAGGCUUUGAAGCGUGGACGCCAGUCUGCGUGGAGCCAACCUUGAAAUACCACCCUUUAAUGUUUGAUGUUCUAACGUUGGCCCCUUACCGGGGUUGCGGACAGUGUCUGGUGGGUAGUUUGACUGGGGCGGUCUCCUCCCAAAGCGUAACGGAGGAGCACGAAGGUUAGCUAAUCCUGGUCGGACAUCAGGAGGUUAGUGCAAUGGCAUAAGCUAGCUUGACUGCGAGCGUGACGGCGCGAGCAGGUGCGAAAGCAGGUCAUAGUGAUCCGGUGGUUCUGAAUGGAAGGGCCAUCGCUCAACGGAUAAAAGGUACUCCGGGGAUAACAGGCUGAUACCGCCCAAGAGUUCAUAUCGACGGCGGUGUUUGGCACCUCGAUGUCGGCUCAUCACAUCCUGGGGCUGAAGUAGGUCCCAAGGGUAUGGCUGUUCGCCAUUUAAAGUGGUACGCGAGCUGGGUUUAGAACGUCGUGAGACAGUUCGGUCCCUAUCUGCCGUGGGCGCUGGAGAAUUGAGGGGGGCUGCUCCUAGUACGAGAGGACCGGAGUGGACGCAUCACUGGUGUUCGGGUUGUCAUGCCAAUGGCACUGCCCGGUAGCUAAAUGCGGAAGAGAUAAGUGCUGAAAGCAUCUAAGCACGAAACUUGCCCCGAGAUGAGUUCUCCCUGAGACUUUAAGUCUCCUGAAGGAACGUUGAAGACGACGACGUUGAUAGGCCGGGUGUGUAAGCGCAGCGAUGCGUUGAGCUAACCGGUACUAAUGAACCGUGAGGCUUAACCUU
rnacentral:rRNA from 1 species